AUGAACCAGUACAAGUGCUCCCAGAGGUACAACCGCCCCCAUGACUGGCAGCGCGCCCCCGCGCGCCAGCACCCGCCUGGGCCGUGCCCUGCUCGGACGUUGUUGCCUUAUGCUGUGUUGCUUGCUGCGCUGCUGCUGCUACUUAGCUCCUGCCGCUGCUCACGCUUCUGUUGUCGUGGCCGGAGUUCGCUCCCGAGCACGCGCCCGCCCGCUCCCUGCCUCGUUCUGCUUGCUCCCUGGCCGCCCCGUGCGCGUCCCCAGCUGCGCGACGCGCCUGCCAGGCCCCGGCCAAGCCCUGCACCGCGCCCGCGUGCGGACGACCGUGCUCACCCGCCGCCGUCGCCCGCGCGUGCGGCCGUCGCGCCCGCCUUCAGCCGGCGUUCAGCGCGCUCCCCUGCUCUGUUGCGUUGCCUGCUGCUAGUGCCGCUGCUGCUUUGCUCGUGGUGCGUGUGCGCCAUGCGUGUGGCCGGCUGGGAGAAAAUCAACAGUACACAUGCUAAUGAUAGGGAACGAUAUGCUCACAUGGAUAACAAUAAGAAGGAUGCACUACUAGAAAAGAAGAUGGAAAUUAAACAUGCUAAUGAUAGGGAGUGGUAUGCCGGUAUGACUCAUGAGCAAAAGCAUGCAAAGAGCGCUCACCGCACGUCAAGGCGCAACACUCUCAGCCAAGAUUCCUUGGCCAUGGAGAACCCAUUUUACACCCCGAAGAUAGUUCGCGAAAAUGCAAGUUUAUUUGGUCCCGACGGCUCCGUAGUCAGACGUGAUUGGUCUAUUCCCGAGCUCAUUGGUUCCCCUAUUUAUAUCCAACCCACUUCUGAGGAUAUAUCGUGUGCGGAGAUGCCAGAUAUGGGUGUUAGUAUGGAACCACGGAGAAAACAUGUGACACCCAGAGAAAGGCAAGCUUUGAUGGAUCAUCAAAACCAAGCUUUCCAUGCAAAUGGUAGGAAGAAUAGACCCACGUCGAUGGAUGAAAACUCGUCGAUUGCCCCAGACAGCAUAAAUGUGUUUGAACAUCCACCACAAUCGGUCAUCAUUAACAAUGAAAGUACAUUGCGAAUGUGCGAUCCAGGCGAAAUACAUCUAGCACCCAAUGAUGGAGUGAAUGAAUCAUUAGAUCAAAAUCCAGCGAUGACUGUGGAAGGUGUCAAUGAUUUUGAACUUCCUUCACAAUCUGUCCUUGUCACUAAUGAAAAUACAUCUCUAAUUCCUGAUACUAUCCAAGAACAUGCAACACACCCGCAAGUUGAUGAUGAUGGUUAUGAAGAGGGUGUCAUAUUGGAGGAAGACUCGGAAGACGAGGAAGGCUACAUGUUCGCCGGGAUGGAUGAGGACAACUAUGAGGAUGUUGAAAUGGAGGAGGUUGACGAUGAUGACGACUCUGCUUCUAUUUCAAACAUUCCAGAUCCGUAUGAUAUGGUUUAUAGCAAACUCCCAACAGAAACACACAAGCUGAAGUCGGUGGAGGACUGCAAACACUGCUGUGCAAAGAAGUUUGAGUGUGAGUCCAAGGGUUUUUGUUGCCAUAAGGGGAAGAUCAAACUGGCCAACCCAGAAACGCCACCCGAGCUCAUGAGGCUAUGGACAAGUGCAGACUCUGAUGCCAGGCAUUUCCGUGGCAAUAUCAGGUUUUUCAACGGCCACUUCUCAUUCACCUCACUAUAUUGUCACCUUGAUAGUGAUACCACUAACAUAUCAAAGCAUCCUAUCUAUACAUUUCGUGCCCAUGGCCAAAUGUACCACGACAUACGGUCAUUCGGCAAACAAGAUGGAUUGGAUCGUAGUCACUUGGAGCUCUACUUCUAUGAUGAUGACCCCAGUUUAGAACACAGAUAUCGCAGUUGCCGUAAAGAGAAGUGCCAGAAAGACAAAGAAGUAAUCACACAAUUGGUCAACAUACUUCGUGGCAACCCAUACUCUGAACACCUCCGGAGUAUGGGCCAUGUUGAUGAUGUUGAUGACUAUCGCAUACCACUUAACCUUGACCAGCGGAUGGAUCAAAGAACAUAUAACGCGCCAACCACUUCAGAAGUAGCCGCUAUGUGGGUGGAGGGUAGUGAACGUCAAAGACAAUUCGAUAAUAGCGUCAUCCUGCAAGGGAAGAAUAGAGAUAUAUACAACAUCAAGUCCUACCAUGGAUGCUAUGAUGCGUUGCCGUACCCUAUUUUCUUCCCUAGAGGUGAACUUGGGUGGCAUACUGAUAUCCCGAAGGAAGGUGUGCCCUAUGAAACCGUGAUGGUAGCUCGUGCAGCUCGUCUAGCUCGUGGCCUUAACAAUAGGUCCUCCAAUCCCACAAUUAGUGAGAAUGCUGCUGCUGAUGAUGAUGCAGCUUCUGGAGGUAGGCUAUGUGUGUCUGUGAGGGACUACUACUGCUACAAAUUCCAGAUGCGUCCUGGGAUAUUCAACCCGAUCCUCUUUGUUAGGCGGUAUGGCAAGCCAGACAUCUUCCUCACAAUGAAAUGCAACCCAAACUGGGAUGAGAUUAGGAAGGAACUGUACCCUGGCCAGACACCUCAAGAUCGUCCAGAUCUCAUCGUCCGUGUUUUCAGGGCGAAGUUGGAGGAACUCAAGAAUAAGCUAUUUAAAAUGGAUAUCUUGGGCAAGUAUGUUCGCCUUAUCUCAGCCGAGCUCCCCAACAAGAAGUACCCAGAACUGUACAAGUUGGUCGUGAAACAUAUGAUGCAUGGACCUUGUGGUGCUUUGAAUCAUGAAUGCCCUUGCACAAAGGGCAAGGACUCCUACCCGCUAUACAGACGACAUGAAGAUGGAUGUAAAGCAAUGGUUCGAAAGGAAUGGCUAGAUAAUAGGUGGGUCGUCCCAUACAACCCGCACCUCUUGCGCUACUUCAAUUGUCACAUCAAUGUUGCGGCAUGCGAAAGCAUAAAGGCCGUUAAAUACCUAUUCAAGUACAUAUACAAGGGCCAUGAUCGAGCGUCUAUUUCUGUAAGUGAGGCUGACAAAAAUGGAGACCUAGAUGAGAUCAAACAGUAUAGAGACGCUAGGUGGGUCACUCCUCUAGAAGCAUUGUGGAGGAUAUAUGGAUUUGAAUUGAGUAAGAACUCACCACCCGUGAAGCAGCUACAACUCCAUCUACCAAACAUGCACAUGGUGUCAUUCCAAGCGGCCCAAAAUAUUGAACGAGUAGUUAACCAUGAAGGUGUUGAGAAGUCGAUGAUUACAGAGUACUUUGAGGAAAAUAGGUUACAUGAGGAUGCUCGUUCUAUCUUGUACAGGGACUUCCCCGAGUGGUACACCUGGCAGACAAGUAAGAACAAAAAAUAUUGGAGAAGAAGGGUACGAGAUACAGGUGGACAAAUUGGAAGAAUUGUGUCAGCUCAUCCCACCGAGGGGGAACGCUAUUACCUGUGGGUCCUCCUAAACCAUGUCACUGGCGCCACCUCUUAUGAGGACCUAAGGACGGUUAAUGGUGAGAUCCUACCAACCUUUCGUGAAGAUGCCGAGAGAAGGGGAUUGAUCGAAGGAGACAACACACUGGAUGAGUCCCUCACUGAAUCCACAUUAUAUAAGAUGCCAUCAUCUCUAAGGAGGCUCUUUGCAACGAUACUGGUAUUCUGUGAGCCAAGUGAUGUGCACAGACUCUGGAAGAAGCACCUAGAUGCAACGUCAAAAGUCUAUCGUCGUAGCAAUCCAUCCAAAGUUGCAGUUGAGAAAAUGGUUCUAAUAGAUAUCAGGAAUAUGCUACAAUCAAUGGGCAAGGAGAUAGAGUCAUUCCCUCUUCCUGAUAUCCAGGAAGAAUAUGACACUUCUAGUGGUGUGACAAGGGAGAUCUUCGAGGAAUCCGCCAUAGAGCUCAACAUUGAGGACACAUAUCUAUCAGAUUCACUUAAUUCAGAUCAGAGGGCCGCAUACGAUGAAAUUAUGUGUGUUGUUGAUCGUGAUGAGGGUGUUGUGUUCUUUGUGGAUGGACCUGGAGGCACCGGAAAGACUUUUUUGUACAAAGCACUGCUUGCUACGAGCCGGACUGCCAAGCUCCUACAGUCAACUUCUCUCAUUAUUUGGGAUGAGGAUUCCAUGGCAAAGAGACAGGCAGUCGAGGCGUUGGACAAUAGUAUGCGCUAUGUGAUGAGCCGACUAGACCUGUCAUUCGGUGGGAAGACAGUUGUGUUCAGUGGAGAUUUCAGACAGGUCAUACCUGUUGUCCUGAUCGUAAGGAGGAGACCAACGGAGAUGGCGACGUCCGUCUUCCAGACGAGAUAUGUGUCGUCAACUGGGAAGGACACUAACAUUGAUUCACUAAUAGACAAUACUUUUCCAAGCCUCGGUGCUAACACGUCAGACCCAGACUACAUCACCUCCAGAGCAAUCUUGUCGACACGGUAUGAUUGCGUGGAUAGGAUUAAUUUGAAGAUGAUCAGUCGAUUCCAGGGAGAUGAGAUGGUGUACCAUAGUUUUGAUUGUGUGGUGGACGACCCUCAUAACUACUAUCCUUCUAAAUUCCUUAACAUGUUGACCCCUAAUGGCCUGCCCCCGCAUGUGUUGAAGCUCAAGAUUAACUGCCCUGUCAUAUUGCUCAGGAACAUUGACCCUGCAAACGGACUUUGCAAUGGCACGAGGUUGGUGGUUCGAGGGUUCCAAAGGAAUGUCAUCGAUGCAGAAAUUGUCCUUGGCCAACAUGCUAGAAAAAGGAUCUUCUUGCCAAGGAUCCCCCUUUGCCCCUCUAAUGAUGAGAUGUUUCCUUUUCAGUUCAAGAGGAAGCAAUUUCCAAUAAGGCUCAGCUUCGCCAUGACGAUGACAGCAAAAAGAAGAGUUCAACUUGCAGCAAAAACAAGAGCUCUGAUAGUCCCGUUGGUCCGUCACAUGGAGUCAUUUGUGUUUAACUUGCAUCUUGUUAUCAUGUGUUACUGA
rnacentral:rRNA from 1 species